UACGUAGGUGACAAGCGUUGUCCGGAUUUACUGGGCGUAAAGAGCGCGCAGGCGGUCGAUCAAGUCGAGUGUGAAAGCCCCCGGCUCAACUGGGGAGGGUCAUUCGAUACUGAUCGACUCGAAGGCAGGAGAGGGUAGUGGAAUUCCUGGUGUAGCGGUGAAAUGCGCAGAUAUCAGGAGGAACACCGAUGGCGAAGGCAGGUCUCUGGGCAUUAACUGACGCUGAGGAGCGAAAGCAUGGGGAGCGAACAGG
rnacentral:rRNA from 1 species